rnacentral:tRNA from 1 species
GGAGAGGUGGCCGAGUGGUCGAAGGCGCACGCCUGGAAAGCGUGUAUACUAAGCGAAUUGGUAUCGAGGGUUCGAAUCCCUCUCUCUCCG